CCCAACACCACUGGCCAGCAUAUCGCUUAGUUCAGGACUUUAGAGCCCUGAAUAGUUUAAUUGUGCCCAUUUCACCCAUUGUCCCUGACGUGACAUCCCUCAUUACAGCCAUUCCACAUGAUGCCACUUGCGUCACUGUCAUUGAUUUAAGUAAUGCAUUUUUUUCUAUACCUAUUGAUCAAGAGACACGGCUACUUAUGGUUUUUACUUUUUGAAGGCUGUCAGUUUACCUGGACACGCUUACCCAAGGCUAUGUGGAUUCCCCAGCUGUUUAUUCGUUGGUACUCCAACAUACUCUAAAAAAAAAAACAUGGACCAUCGGUCAUGGUUCCGUCCUUUUUGCAAAAUGUUGAUGAUUUGUUGUUAUGUAGCCCUAGCUAUGAGGCAAGCACUGUGGAUACUGUCAGCAACUGUAGGUCACAAGGUUGUUAAACACAAAAUGCAAUUGUGUAAAUCAAAGGUUGAAUACUUAGGUUUUGUUCUGGCUUUAGGCACCAGACAAUUGAGUCCAAAACGUAUUGAGGUCAUUCAGAGGAUUCCUA